GACAGAGGUGCCGAGCGUUAGGCGGAAUCACUGGGCUUAAAGCGUGUGUAGGCGGAUUUGUAAGUACCUUGUGAAAUCCCACGGCUCAACCGUGGAACUGCUUGGUAUACUGCUUAUCUUGGGUCAUCUAGGGGCGAGCGGAACAAACGGUGGAGCGGUAAAAUGCGUAGAUAUCGUUUGGAACGCCAAUGGUGAAAACAGCUCGCUGGGGAUGUACCGACGCUGAGACACGAAAGCCAGGGGAGCGAACGGG
rnacentral:rRNA from 1 species